AAGUGGAGCAAUCCAUGAGUAAAGUGGCGCACGGGUGAGUAACACGUGACUAACCUACCUUUUUGUGGGGGAUAACCUAGGGAAACCUGGGCUAAUACCGCAUAAUACCUACGGGUCAAAGCAGCAAUGCGCAGAAAGAGGGGGUCGCGGCCGAUUAGCUAGUUGGCGGGGUAAUGGCCCACCAAGGCAGUGAUCGGUAUCCGGCCUGAGAGGGCGCACGGACACACUGGAACUGAAACACGGUCCAGACUCCUACGGGAGGCAGCAGUGGGGAAUUUUGCGCAAUGGGGGAAACCCUGACGCAGCAACGCCGCGUGGAGGAUGAAGUCCCUUGGGACGUAAACUCCUUUCGAUCGGGACGAUAAUGACGGUACCGGAAGAAGAAGCCCCGGCUAACUUCGUGCCAGCAGCCGCGGUAAUACGAGGGGGGCAAGCGUUGUUCGGAAUUAUUGGGCGUAAAGGGUGCGUAGGUGGUUCGGCAAGUCUUGUGUGAAAUCUUCAGGCUCAACUUGAUGUCUGCACAAGAAACUGCCGGGCUUGAGUAUGGGAGAGGUGAGUGGAAUUUCCGGUGUAGCGGUGAAAUGCGUAGAUAUCGGAAGGAACACCUGUGGCGAAAGCGGCUCACUGGACCAUUACUGACA
rnacentral:rRNA from 1 species